rnacentral:rRNA from 1 species
CACGUAGGGGCGAGCGUUGUCCGGAGUUACUGGGCGUAAAGCGCAUGCAGGCGGCUCAUUACGCAUGGCGUGAAAGCCCCCGGCUCAACCGGGGAGGGUCGUCGUGAACGGGUGAGCUUGAGGGUAUCAGGGGCUGGUGGAAUUCCCGGUGUAGUGGUGAAAUGCGUAGAGAUCGGGAGGAACACCUGUGGCGAAGGCGGCCAGCUGGGAUACACCUGACGCUGAGAUGCGAAGGCGUGGGGAGCGAACGGGAUUAGAUACCCGGGUAGUCCCUGA